rnacentral:rRNA from 1 species
UACGAGAGGCCCAAACGUUUAUUCGGAAUUACUGGGCUUAAAGAGUUCGUAGGCGGCAUUGCAAGUAGGGUGUGAAAGCCCUCGGCUCAACCGAGGAAUUGCGCUCUAAACUGCAGUGCUUGAGGACCUAGAGGUGAGCAGAACAGAUGGUGGAGCGGUGAAAUGCGUUGAUAUCAUCUGGAAUACCGGAGGCGAAGGCGGCUCACUGGGAGUUUUCUGACGCUGAGGAACGAAAGCCAGGGUAGCGAACGGG